rnacentral:tRNA from 2 species
GGGUGCGUAGCUCAGCGGGGGAGCGCUUCCUUGACGCGGAAGAGGUCGCAGGUUCAAAUCCUGCCGCACCCACCA